UACGGAGGAUCCAAGCGUUAUCCGGAAUCAUUGGGUUUAAAGGGUCCGUAGGCGGGGCAAUAAGUCAGUGGUGAAAGUCUGUGGCUCAACCAUAGAACUGCCAUUGAUACUGUUGUCCUUGAGUUACUGUGAAGUGGUUGGAAUAUGUAGUGUAGCGGUGAAAUGCAUAGAUAUUACAUAGAACACCGAUUGCGAAGGCAGAUCACUAACAGUACACUGACGCUGAUGGACGAAAGCGUAGGUAGCGAACAGG
rnacentral:misc_RNA from 1 species